rnacentral:rRNA from 1 species
CUACGGGAGGCAGCAGUCGAGAAUCAUUCGCAAUGGGCGAAAGCCUGACGAUGCGACGCCGUGUGAACGAAGAAGGCCUUAGGGUUGUAAAGUUCUUUCGCUAAGGGUCAAGAGAAAUGUGAUAAAACCACAUUGAUUUGAGAGUACUUGGUAAAGAAGCACCGGCUAACUCCGUGCGCAGCAGCUGCGGUAAUACGGAGGGUGCGAGCGUUAAUCGGAUUUAUUGGGCGUAAAGGGCGAGUAGACGGUACAGGAAGUCAGGCGUGAAAUUCCGAAGCUCAACUUCGGAGCUGCACCUGAAACUGUUGUACUUGAGGGUAGGCGGAGAAAACGGAAUUCCACGUGUAGCGGUGAAAUGCGUAGAUAUGUGGAAGAACACCGGUGGCGAAGGCGGUUUUCUAGCUUAUACCUGACGUUGAGGCGCGAAAGCUGGGGGAGCGAACAGGAUUAGAUACCCCCGUAGUC